UCCAUCACGCCUGGUCCACUGCUGCCCCUGUCCAUCGCCGCCCGCGUGCUCGCCGCCGCCGCCCGUGGCCCUCAGCGCCGCUGCUGGAGAAACAGGGAGGCUGCCCCCAUCGUUCGACCUCCAUCUCUGCUCUUCUUCAUCGUGGGCAAGAUUCAUCAGGCCUGGAGCUCAGAACUAUCCUCGACAUGGGAUUGGCCGCUGCGAGAGCUGCAAAGUACUUGCCAUCCUUGCCCUUCUUCCAUCUCGGACCUGGCAAAUCCAUAAGCUGACGACAAUGCAUGAGACUUGGUUCGUAGUAACGAUUUAAAGAGCCUAACAAUUGGGCAAGACCAAACAUUUGCAAGCUAUGUUGUCAUAAUUUGAUAAAGAACUCAAAAGAAGCAUUAUCACCGUCAUGAUUUGAGAGUACCAGCUUUCAGGAGCAUGGAACAAGGGGAAAUAUAGGAGCAUGGAGCAUGAUUCGACCUUGCAAUGAUUGCUGAAGGCCAUUGCCUUGCGGCCUCUGAAUCUGCAACUGAUGCUGCAUCCUCUAGCCCUGGGAUGCCAGUUGUUGCUGCCUCUGGUCAGGAAUUGACGCUCUCUCCCACCCUCCUAGUUAGUUAAAUAUAUUAGUGCUUCUACCUGAUCCAGAUAUUGUUGUGUGGCCUGCAGAUUUGAAAACAUGUGCUCUGUGCAAGAUAUUCCUUACCUGGGCUACCAGAUGAAGCCUGAAGCCAUCCGAAAUUGAGAAGCCGAUUAUUGUUGACCAUAGUGAACUACUUUGCAACAACAGUCACUAUUAUUAUUGUUGCUGUUCCUGAAGGGUUGCCUCUAGCUGUUACUUUGAGUCUUGCAUUUGCAAUGAAAAGCUAAUGAAUGAUAAAGCACUCGUAAGACAUCUUUCAGCAUGUGAGACAAUGGGAUCUGUUGGUACCAUCUGCACAGAUAAAACAGGAAAUUUGACAAUAGUUUGAAAGAUCAGAAUUCUAUCAUUUCUCCAACCACCCAAGGCCUACUCUUGCAGGGCAUUUUUGAAGAAGAUGGCAGUGUUGGUCUCAUUGCCCAAUGACUACAUCCAAGAAAUGUAGCAUGAUUCUUACUUCAUACAGUAGGAAAUUAGUGUACUCUGUGUAAGGAUGUAAUAUGUGUAAUGCCUGACUUAUGUGUAAGGAUGUAAAUGCAAAGAUAUUUAUGCAAAUGCACUGAUGAAAUAAAUUACAGUGAA